rnacentral:rRNA from 1 species
GACAGAGGCCUCAAGCGUUUAGGCGGAAGUCACUGGGCUUAAAGCGUGUGUAGGCGGAUCGUUAAGUGUCUUGUGAAAUCCCACGGCUCACCCGUGGAACUGCUGGGCAUACUGGCGAUCUUGGGCCAACUAGGGGCAACUGGAACAAGCGGUGGAGCGGUGAAAUGCGUAGAUAAUCGCUUGGAACGCCAAGGGUGAAAAACAGGUU